AAGAACUGGCUGGGAAUUGGGGAAGAUGGGAUUGGUUGAUGAGGAAUUCAUGGAGAAAAUGGCCUGAGAAAAGGGAAUGAAGUGACUUUAAAAGGAAAUGAAGGUUCCCCUGGAAGAGGACUAGUGAUGUAUAUUGCAUUCCAAGGGGAAGGAGCACAGUGUUGGACCAUCCUCUCUCAUGGCUUGGGAUGAUGUCAGAUGAUGAAUGCUGUAGACGGGGUAUCUCUGAAGAUCAUUCAAGGGUUUAGCACUAUUCCCAUCACAUAGUAGACAUUUAAUAAAAGUUCCUUGAAUUGAAAUGAACA
rnacentral:lncRNA from 1 species